GCCUGGGUGGUGGAAUUGGUAGACACAAGGGAUUUAAAAUCCCUCGGAUCCUCAACGGUCCGUGCGAGUUCAAGUCUCGCCCUAGGCACCA
rnacentral:tRNA from 1 species